UUUAUGAAGUAUAAUGAUGAAUUGUAUUGAUCUGACCACAACCGUGAAGUCUGAAUUCAAUCCAACACUGAGCUUCAAAAU